rnacentral:lncRNA from 1 species
GUCUUAAUUGUUCAAUACCGCAGGGCAAGUGACAGCUCUAUCCAAUUUUAUGCAAUAUCAGAAAUUCCUGCUCUAACUUUCGGGAAUGUAAUUGGUCAUGGGUCCCUAGGACUGCAAAUUGGCAGCCGAUCACUUAACCAAGUUAGCAUUGUCGAGGAUGAGCCCCUCUAUUUGGGUCAACCGACCCCAUCCUCCUUGGUUGGGAUCUUGGACAAGGAUGGUCUUCCAUGCCCUCUGAAUCGUAGCGCUUGAGGAAUGCUAGGUGUGUUGGUGUAGGUGGCUCGAUACAAGUCAUGAUGUGUAAAUUCUACAUCGGAGAAUACAAUCUACAGUUUAAAUAUAGGUAGUUCACUCCUAAUUGCACCGAGAAUUUUUAAGUUAAAACCCCACACUUAGAGGCCAAUUCUACCUAACCCAACCCAAAGAUUGGACCUAGGUGCUUAAGGUGGGGGUAAUAUCGGUGUAUAUUUUGACCAGAUAGUAGACUCCUAUUGGGCCCGUUGGUACAACCAAAUGAACUUUCGAUGUCCUUUGCCCAUCUAUGGCAGCGUCCGUUUCUUUUCAUUUAUCUGCUGUUGUAGUUUAACUUGUACCUUGUGUGUCGUUUUAUGUGGUGUAUGUUUGCUUGUAGUCCCC